UGGGGUGUAGCUCAGUGGCAGAGCAUUUGUCUACUACAUAUAAGGCCCUGGGUUUAACCCCAGCACUGCAC
rnacentral:tRNA from 1 species